CAACCCUCAAGCCUGGCUUGGUGUUGGGGCUCUGCGCCUGCAGGCCCUCAAAUCCAGUGGCGGACACGCUAGGUCUCCGAGCGCAGUACUUUUUCUCGCUCCGGGCGUCCGGCGUGGGCUUGCCUCGCACCCCAAUUUAUCAA
rnacentral:misc_RNA from 1 species